rnacentral:rRNA from 1 species
UACGUAGGGUGCGAGCGUUAUCCGGAAUUAUUGGGCGUAAAGAGCUCGUAGGCGGUUUGUCGCGUCUGUCGUGAAAGUCCGGGGCUUAACCCCGGAUCUGCGGUGGGGUACGGGCAGACUAGAGUGCAGUAGGGGGAGACUGGAAUUCCUGGUGUAGCGGUGGAAUGCGCAGAUAUCAGGAGGAACACCGAUGGCGAAGGCAGGUCUCUGGGCUGUAACUGACGCUGAGGAGCGAAAAGCAUGGGGGAGCGAACAGG